rnacentral:rRNA from 1 species
ACUGAGACACGGCCCAGACUCCUACGGGAGGCAGCAGUGGGGAAUAUUGCACAAUGGGCGGAAGCCUGAUGCAGCGACGCCGCGUGAGGGAUGACGGCCUUCGGGUUGUAAACCUCUUUCGACUCCGACGAAGCGAGAGUGACGGUAGGAGUAUAAGAAGCACCGGCCAACUACGUGCCAGCAGCCGCGGUAAUACGUAGGGUGCGAGCGUUGUCCGGAAUUACUGGGCGUAAAGAGCUUGUAGGCGGCUUGUCGCGUCGAUCGUGAAAACUCGGGGCUCAACCCCGAGCUUGCGGUCGAUACGGGCAGGCUUGAGUACUUCAGGGGAGACUGGAAUUCCUGGUGUAGCGGUGAAAUGCGCAGAUAUCAGGAGGAACACCGGUGGCGAAGGCGGGUCUCUGGGAAGUAACUGACGCUGAGAAGCGAAAGCGUGGGUAGCGAACAGGAUUAGAUACCCUGGUAGUCCACGCCGUAAACGGUGGGUACUAGGUGUGGGUUUCCUUCCACGGGAUCCGUGCCGUAGCUAACGCAUUAAGUACCCCGCCUGGGGAGUACGGCCGCAAGGCUAAAACUCAAAGGAAUUGACGGGGGCCCGCACAAGCGGCGGAGCAUGUGGAUUAAUUCGAUGCAACGCGAAGAACCUUACCUGGGUUUGACAUACACCGGAAACCUGCAGAGAUGUAGGCCCCCUUGUGGUCGGUGUACAGGUGGUGCAUGGCUGUCGUCAGCUCGUGUCGUGAGAUGUUGGGUUAAGUCCCGCAACGAGCGCAACCCUUAUCUUAUGUUGCCAGCGCGUAAUGGCGGGGACUCGUGAGAGACUGCCGGGGUCAACUCGGAGGAAGGUGGGGACGACGUCAAGUCAUCAUGCCCCUUAUGUCCAGGGCUUCACACAUGCUACAAUGGCCGGUACAGAGGGCUGCGAUACCGUGAGGUGGAGCGAAUCCCUUAAAGCCGGUCUCAGUUCGGAUCGGGGUCUGCAACUCGACCCCGUGAAGUUGGAGUCGCUAGUAAUCGCAGAUCAGCAACGCUGCGGUGAAUACGUUCCCGGGCCUUGUACACACCGCCCGUCACGUCAUGAAAGUCGGUAACACCCG